CUACGGAGGGUGCAAGCGUUACUCGGAAUCACUGGGCGUAAAGGACGCGUAGGCGGGUUGGCAAGUCAGAUGUGAAAUCCUACAGCUUAACUGUAGAACUGCAUUUGAAACUGCUAACCUAGAGUAUGGGAGGGGGAGAUGGAAUUAGUGGUGUAGGGGUAAAAUCCGUAGAUAUCACUAGGAAUACCGAAAGCGAAGGCGAUCUCCUGGAACAUAACUGACGCUAAGGCGUGAAAGCGUGGGGAGCAAACAGGAUUAGAUACCCUAGUAGUCC
rnacentral:rRNA from 1 species